rnacentral:rRNA from 1 species
UAACCCCGCCAAGGGGAAGGUAGGUCCCCAAGGAGUGGGUCGAUGACUGGGGUG